GGCGUCGUAGUUCAGUUGGCUAGAGCGUUGGCUUUACUUAAGCCUUCCUCUUGCUGGCGUGGGUUCGAAUCCCCCUGAGGCCA
rnacentral:tRNA from 1 species